AAGAGAUUCACAUAAAUUCCCAGCCACUAUCCUUUCCAGAUUUGAAAAGAUACAAAGAGAAAUCAUUUGGAAAGGUUCAGGAGAUUCACAUAAAUUCCAUUUUGGAAAGGGGCGAAGUGUACAAGCUAGUUAGCAAAGCUUUUGGUAGAGGGCAUGGGGUGACAGUGGGAGGGCGGUGCACCAAUUCCUUGUCUAAGCUAUAGAGAGCCAUGCGUCCAGAAGGUUAUUUCCAGCUCCCUGGGUGUCAAGAGGGAGAUUGUGUUCAAAGUGGGAAACGGUUCCUGCAUUCAUUUUUGGGAGCAUGUCUGGUGUGAUGAUCAGCCUCUUGGGUGGCUUCGUGGCAUAGCUACCAAUAGAGGGAUUGUAAUUUUUAUU